rnacentral:RNase_P_RNA from 1 species
CGCGGUUGCGGCGGCGAUCGCGUCGUGGUGGGGCCGGGCCUGGCCCGGCCUGCGUCCACGAUGAGGAAAGUCCGAACUGCGCAGGACACGGUGGUCGCUAACAGCGACGCGGAGAAGGCAGUUUCGUCGAUUCAUCGGCGGGAUCUGCUGAAUCCGACGGAAAGUGCAACAGAAAGCAUACCGCCUAAAGUCCGGGGCAUGUUUUUCCCGGACUCGGCAAGGGUGAAAUGGUGCGGUAAGAGCGCACCGCGUUGAUGGUGACAUCAACGGCACGGCAAACCCCACCGGCAGCAAGACCAAAUAUGCGGGAAACGGAGCUGAGGCUCGGAUAGAGCUGAAGGCUCGGCGUCCUGGUCCGGGGCGUCAGGUUUUGCCUGGUCUCCGCGGGUAGGUCGCUCGAGGCCCGGAGCAAUCCGGGUCCCAGAGAAAUGGUCGCCUGCCCCGAGCUUGUGCUCGGGGCAAACGGAAUUCGGCUUACCAGCAGCCGCGGUCG